UCUGCCAUCAGGUCUGGGACAACCACUGGAAACGGUGGCUAAUACCGGAUGUGCCCUAUUAGGGUGAAAGGUUAACUGCCUGUUGAUGAGCUCGCGUCUGAUUAGCUAGUUGGUGUGGUAAGAGCGCACCAAGGCGACGAUCAGUAGCUGGUCUGAGAGGACGAUCAGCCACACUGGGACUGAGACACGGCCCAGACUCCUACGGGAGGCAGCAGUGGGGAAUUUUCCGCAAUGGGCGAAAGCCUGACGGAGCAAUACCGCGUGAGGGAGGAAGGCUCUUGGGUCGUAAACCUCUUUUCUCAAGGAAGAAAACAAUGACGGUACCUGAGGAAUAAGCAUCGGCUAACUCCGUGCCAGCAGCCGCGGUAAUACGGAGGAUGCAAGCGUUAUCCGGAAUGAUUGGGCGUAAAGCGUCCGCAGGUGGCUAUGUAAGUCUGCUGUUAAAGAGUCUAGCUCAACUAGAUAAGAGCAGUGGAAACUACAAGGCUAGAGUGCGUUCGGGGCAGAGGGAAUUCCUGGUGUAGCGGUGAAAUGCGUAGAGAUCAGGAAGAACACCGGUGGCGAAGGCGCUCUGCUAGGCCGCAACUGACACUAG
rnacentral:rRNA from 1 species